UACGUAGGUGGCAAGCGUUAUCCGGAAUUAUUGGGCGUAAAGAGCGCGCAGGUGGUUAAUUAAGUCUGAUGUGAAAGCCCACGGCUUAACCGUGGAGGGUCAUUGGAAACUGGUUGACUUGAGUGCAGAAGAGGGAAGUGGAAUUCCAUGUGUAGCGGUGAAAUGCGUAGAGAUAUGGAGGAACACCGGUGGCGAAAGCGGCUCUCUGGCCUGUAACUGACACUGAGGCACGAAAGCGUGGGGAGCAAAUAGG
rnacentral:rRNA from 1 species